rnacentral:misc_RNA from 1 species
CCUCUCUCUCUCUCUCUCUCUGAGCGGUUACUUCUUUUCUCUUUGAUUAUAUUUCCUGACAGAUGUUGAUAUCUUGUUGGGCAUGACAGUUGCUUACCUCUUUUCCUUUUGAUGUUGGCUUCUUGACAUCAAGAGGAGCUUAGUUAUCAUGUUUGGUGGUUCAAUUCAAUUUCCAUAGGGCUUAAAAAUGCAUUUUGUUGUUCAGAGCUUUGUUUUUUUUUAUUCCCCAUUUUCUCAAACAUCAAUCACUUGCAUUUGUGGUGGCUUUUUUGUGUUUUUGUGUUUAUUAAAGAAAUCCAUUUUGGCUAGGGUACUGUUCACCUGGAUUUUAAUUGCUUUUUUUUGUUUUAUAUCACGAAUAUACCUCAUUGGUCUUACAGCAUUUUGAUUCUUAUGUGUCCAGG